GAAGAUCUUGCCCUUUGUGUUGUUUCGUUCUAGUUGAUCAGUAGUGGAGCCCAGUUGGGGUCGAUCGGGGGCCUUUGUCGCAUUUGGGGUUCUUCUUUUAUUUUGGUUCCGUAGUCGGACCUUGAUUGUAUCUGGAUGAUGUAAUGCUUUAUUCAUGUAAUUGGGUGAAGUGGCGAUUGUAAGCCAACUAUGUAUCUCUUUCCCUUAUGUAUUACAUGGGUUGUGUGAACAUUACCUCACUUGCGACAUUGCUUUCAAUGCGGUUAUGCCUCUAAGUCGUGCUUCGACACGUGGGAGAUAUAGCCGCAUCGAGGGCGUUACAAGUUGGUAAUCAGAGCCUUCCCCGACCUUAGGAGCCCCACUGCUUGAUCGUUUUUAGCGGCCGAGUUGUGUCUAGAAAAAUAUUUUGAGUCAUUUAGGAUUAUAUAUAUCGGAGAGUUAGGAAUUCUUUUUACUCCCCAGUCUCUUCAUCGCUCUGGUAAGGCAUCCUGACGUAGAGUUUUGACUAUUCUCUUCUCAAAUUUCACUAAAUUUUUUUUAGGAUCACGCGGGUAUCUUGGAAUCGUUCCGAUGGUUUUAUGAUGAGAACAUUGUCUUGGUGCCUCCUGUCAGGGUUUUAGUGGAAGUGUCCCGGGGAGUUGAGCUCUGAGGUGUUGUCAUCAUAAUUUUAUCGUUGCAAUUCUGGAAUACCUGAGUUUAGUACGCCGACAUCGAAAAUCUCUUUUAUGCAGUUCGUUGGUGAGAUAACCUCGACGUCACCCAGUACUGGGGCGGGAGUUCGGGAGUAUCGCCAUAACUUGUAUAACGGAUGAUUUUCGAAGGUUGAGGUAGAUGAUUUCCGAAGGUUUCUUGGUUAUGUGUUGAAGGAUGGAUACAGCUGGAUGUAGGAUUUGCUAGUUUGGGUGAGAUAUUAUGCUUCCCCUGUAUCCCCAACACCUGAUUGCAUAACCGGAAAAUUUCGGGAGUUUCAUAGGUGGGAAUUCAAGUAGCUCUUAGGAUAUCUUUCCGACGGAUGUAUGAUAUGAAAUUGGGGUUCGACGUCUAGUGGUCCGCCUAUUCACGGCCGAUUUUACAGUGGUCUCGUUGUGUCUUAAAGAGUCCUUGGCUAUGCCGACUCGGGAACGCUUCGUAUGUCAUGUGCACUGCCUUGUACAUGAUGGUGCUGUACGAUCGAGCCCGUGUAGGCCCCACCACGAAAACUUCGGACGAAAUCUCUACCGUAUGUUUGUUCCGGCUUAUUCUGCAAGCCAACCCUUUGUUUUUGUUUUGAGUUGUGGUAUUCGAGUUGCUUCGAAGUCAAAUGUUGAUUCCAUACCUUUUUCCUAAGCGGUAUUCUCAUACUCCUAUGCGAAUACUUAUCCUUCUUGAUAAUCGAGUUGUCAUUUCAAUUUCUUCUCAACCGGUGUACUUCUCUUCAAGUGGAUCCGAUCAUUUCAACAACCGCAAGAUCAAGUAUCAGUUCUUCUUAACGGUGUUUGUUUCAUCCGUCUCCAAAUUGUCUUUGUUUUUCCCACCCUCCCUCCCUUUGUUUUUCUCCAAGGAUUCAGAUCUCUUAAUCGAGUAUCCAUAUUAUUGAUGUGAAGUCGCUCCAUUCUUUUCUAUCAAUAUUCUUAUCCGGUGAUUAUCAGGAAGAUUCUAACGGAGCUUCAAGUUCGUCAACCUUCACUCAUUUUUCUUCUCCGGUGGUUUAAAUUCAAGCGUUAUUGAUCAUAUCUUCUCCUCGUUUUCAAAUACCUUCUCAUAACGGUUCACCUAAUAAUCUUUCACCGCUCGUUAUUCUAUUGUUCCGGAGUGCCCAAGAUAUCUCGAAGAUUCGUGUUUCCACUCUACAUUCAUUCAAACUAUUUCGAGGUUGUUUAUCUCAUUCAAGCCAUUAAAUUCAACCGGUGCAAUCUCCUUUCUCAAGUAAUCGUUCAACGGUGUUCCUUUUGAGUGGGUCCUAACCCACAGGUCUUUUCCCAGGAUCUUACCUGACUCUUCUAAUUCUCCCGGAGAUAUCCUUAAAAUUCUUUUCGAAGUUUGACGUAAGAAAGAGUUAUCAUCAGUCAAAUGCCAUCUCCUAGGUCUUUCACAAUUAUUUUCAUCGUUGGCUCAACCUCUUCGUUUUGAUUCUUCCGGAGUGUCUAAAUAAUUCAUGGUGGUGUUCUCGUCGUCAUUCUCGGAUUUUGAAGACCGAAGAAGAGUUUCUCCUUAAUCUUGCUUCAUUCUCUUCAAGAUUCGUGAUUCUAGCUCGUUGCCAUCCUCUCAUAAUUGUUUCGAUCGUGAGUAUUCUUUUCACCCUUCCGGAGCAAUUUAAGAGUCGUCUCAGUUUGUUAUCCGGAGUCCAUCAAGUCAGGUUUAUUCAUUCUCAUCUUUCAGCUAUCAUUCUCCAAUUUUACCGGUGCUUCAUUCAAGUGAUCUUUAAUCGGCUCGUGAUCUCUUCGUUCUCAUGUAUCUAAAUUCUCUCAAGCAUUUUCGUCCAUUUGCUAAUUCUUCCCGGUGUUUCUUUAUCUUCUCUUCGUUCAUUUUCAAUUCUUACGGUGGUUCGUUCAACAUUUCUCUUCCUUAUCAAUUUAUUCAUUGUUUCUAUUCUACCGGUGGGUUGUUCAAGAUCUUCUCAAGUUAUCGAUAUCUAUUUUAAUCCUGUCUACGAGAAUAAGUAGUGUGCCAAAUCCGUUUUUUUGUCAUCAAUUUAAUUGGUGAAGGUUAAACAUAACGUAAUUCUUAUUCUUGCUUCAUCCAACUGUCUAAUUUCCUAUUCCGGAGGUUCAUCAAAUUCUUGUUUCCAUUUGUUCAUCUUUCUUUACCGGAGUGCCAAGUUUUCUCUUUAUCUCGUUGCUAAGCGUCAUCCAAAUCAUUGCAAGGAUUCACCUUGUGUUUUCAAUUUCUCUUUCUUUUCAUUCCUUUUGUUUACUAGAGUUCUUCAUGGAUGUUCUACAGGACGAUUCAUCGAGGAUUUAAUUCCUUCUCAAAGUUUUCAUCAAGAUUCAUUUCUAGGGAGCUCAAGCUUUCUUCAUAUUGUAAUCCGGAGUGCAAUUCUUUCUUCCAUAUCAUUGGAGAUGGUAUUAUGUCAUCCUUGAUAAUUUGAAUUCAUGUUUCUUGAUUCACAUGUUGUCAUGAAUGAGAUAUUUCAAAUCCAUCAAUCUCGUCUUUGGAGUUAUCUUGGGUUAUAUUUCACCUUAAGCCCUCCCUAAGGAUGGUUGUUAUUAUGGUGCUUAUAAAUGACCCAAGUUCUUCUUUUAUCCUCCCGGUGAAAUACUUUCUCGUCUCCUUGUUCUUAUCAAUCCAAUUCUUUUUCCCGUGAGUGGCAGGUUGUCACCUCAUAAGCUGAGAUGCAUUUCACAAGACCAUAUCAAGCUUAUUCUUUUCGUUGUUGGUGUUCCAACUACUCCGUUCGACCCUUUUCCUAAAGAUGCCUUUUCAAGCUCUUUUGUGGCAUAAGAUGGCAUUUUCUUCUCCAUUCCUUUAUUUCAAUUAUCUAUCUUCUAUUCUUUUGUUCCGGAGCCAUUGUAAUGUUGCUCUUCUCUCUCAUCAUCUUGGAUCGUGCUCUUCUCUUGCUUAUCCAUUUAACCGGAGUGUUGUGCGUUUUUUGCUCAAGUUCUUUUCGCCUUAUCAAGUCUUGUAUAUCUUUUCAACCGGAGUGCUGUCCAAAUUUGUUCUUCCUUGUUUCUCUUUUCUAACGGAGUGUUUUCAACUUCGUCCAUCUUUGUUGUUUUCUUCUUUAAAUUAGUUCAACCUCGCAAGGUUCUUUGGUUUCACUCGUUUGUCAAAGAAGCAACUUAGUUUUCCCCUUCUCUUUCUCCUCUGUUUUUCCCUCCGGUGCCAUUCUAGAUCUCGGGACGAGAUCCUCUCGUAGUGGUGGAGUGUUGUAACGCCCCGAGACCGUUGUGCCAGGUGUCGUUCAGUUAUUCGCUGAUGUUGCCAGGUCAUUUGCUUGUGUGUUGCAUUUCAUCAUGUCAUCAUGUGCAUUGCAUCAUGUCAUCAUGCAACCCGUUUUAAAACUCAACUAAACAAAUGGUAUGGAUCUUUGAUCCAUUUAAAUCGAGGGAAUUCACAUGGCGAUUCUCUUUACAACUUAUCCUCUCGAUAUUUAGAGAGCUAUAGUAAUUAUUCCAAUUAUGUGGAAUUACCUUAACACACUUGCAAAAAUCCCAAAGCCUUUUAUUAUUUCAACUCUUGGCCUCUAACUUUGCCAUAUGUCAUUUCAUCAUUUUCCGGAUUCGUUGCCGUGGCACCCCUUUUCUUUCCACCACGGUGGCAAAUGCUACAUAAUAUGCUCUUAUCAACAUUUUCUUAAAAACUUGCAUAAACUUGUUCAUGUCAUCCACAUCAUGAUAACAACAAUUAAAAUGUUUAAAUUGUUGUUGCAUUAAAUUACUAAUGCAUAUGGGGAGUUAUCGGAUUUGUUGUUUAUUAUAUCCGGCCCCAUUUAAAUUGUUUAGAUGGUAUAGUUUUGUUAUGUUUCACCUCUUGCCAUGUUAACCAACAUUUAACUUUGUUGAGUACCUAACCGAGAGUGAACUAAAUAAUUGAUGUGGUGUUCCGUCAAUAUGCAACUCGUUGCAUAUUGAUCUCCACUUAAUUUGUAGAACUGCUUGUGCACUUUGCCAUGCCAUGCUUCAUUAAACCGGACAUGCAUCAUACUCGAUUGUGCAUCGUGCCAUGUUGUUGUGGUGGUUGUUUACUAUGCUGUGUGCUUCUUUUCCGGUGUUUGCUUCUUCGGGUUGGUUCCGAUAACGUCGAGGUUGUGAGGAUCCAUUCGUCUACGUCCAUUUGUCUUCUUCAUGGACUCGUUCUUCUUCCUUGCGGGAUUUCAGGCAAGAUGAUCAUACCCUCGAAAUCACUACUAUCUUUGCUAUGCUAGUUUGCUCGCUCUUUUGCCAUGCCAAUGCUACGAUGCCUACCACUUGCUUGUCAGCCACCCAAAUUGCCAUGUCAAACCUCUAACCCACCAUGUCCUAGCAAACCGUUGAUUGGCUAUGUUACCGCUUUGCUCAGCCCCUCUUAUAGUGUUGUUAGUUGCAGGUGAAGAUUGCAGUUUGUUCCUUGUUGGAACAUGGAGAUGUUGUUUCUUGUUGGAACAUGUUACUUGUUGGGAUAUCACAAUAUAUCUUAUUUAAUUAAUGCAUCUAUAUACUGGUAAAGGGUGGAAGGCUUGGCCUUAUGCCUGGUGUUUUGUUCCACUCUUGCCGCCCUAGUUUCCGUCAUAUCGGUGUUAUGUUCCCGGAUUUUGCGUCCCUUACGCGGUUGGGCUAUAAUGGGAACCCCUUGACAGUUCGCCUUAAGUAAAGCUUUUCCAGCAAUGCCCAACAUUGGUUUUACCAUUUGCCACCUAGCCUUUUUCCCUUGGGAGUCGCGCAUCCCGAGGGUCAUCUUUAUUUUAACCCCCCCGGGCCAGUGCUUGUCUAAGUGUUGGUCCGAACUAGAGUCCUUUGCAGCGCCACCUCAGGGAAACUUGAGGGCUGGUUUUAGUUGUACGGAGCGCUCAUCCGGUGUUGCCCUGAGAACGAGAUAUGUGCAGCUCCUAUCAGGAUGUCGGCGCAUCGGGCGGUAUUGCUGGUUUAGUUUUACCCUGUCGAAAUGUCUUGUUGUACCGGGAUACCGAGUCUGAUCGGAAUGUCUCGGGUGGAGGUCUAUUCCUUCGUUGACCGUGAGAGCUUGUGAUGGGCUAAGUUGGGACACCCCUGCAGGGAUUUGAACUUUCGAAAGCCGUGCCCGCGGUUAUGGGUAGAUGGGAAUUUGUUAACGUCCGGUUGUAGAAAACCCGAAGUUGACCUUAAUUAAAAUACAUCAACCGUGUGUGUAACCGUGAUGGUCUCUUUCCGGCGGAGUCCGGGAAGUGAACACGGUGUUGGAGUUAUGCUUGACGUAGGUAGUCCAGGAUCACUUCUUGAUCAUACCUUUAUCGACCGUGCUUUGCCUUCUCUUCUCGCUCUCAUUUGCGUAUGUUAGCCACCAUAUAUGCUAGUCGCUUGCUGCAGCUCCACCUUAUUACCCCAGCCUUCCUAUAAGCUUAAAUAGUCUUGAUCUCGCGGGUGCGAGAUUGCUGAGUCCCUGUGGCUCACAGAUACUUCCAAAACCAGUUUGCAGGUGCUGAUGAGUUUGUGCAGUUGACGCAACCAAGCUCAGGAGGAGCUCGAUGAAGAUCUUGCCCUUUGUGUUGUUUCGUUCUAGUUGAUCAGUAGUGGAGCCCAGUUGGGGUCGAUCGGGGGCCUUUGUCGCAUUUGGGGUUCUUCUUUUAUUUUGGUUCCGUAGUCGGACCUUGAUUGUAUCUGGAUGAUGUAAUGCUUUAUUCAUGUAAUUGGGUGAAGUGGCGAUUGUAAGCCAACUAUGUAUCUCUUUCCCUUAUGUAUUACAUGGGUUGUGUGAAGAUUACCUCACUUGCAACAUUGC
rnacentral:lncRNA from 1 species